rnacentral:rRNA from 1 species
CGGACGGGUGAGUAAUGUCUGGGAAACUGCCUGAUGGAGGGGGAUAACUACUGGAAACGGUAGCUAAUACCGCAUAACGUCGCAAGACCAAAGAGGGGGACCUUCGGGCCUCUUGCCAUCGGAUGUGCCCAGAUGGGAUUAGCUAGUAGGUGGGGUAACGGCUCACCUAGGCGACGAUCCCCAGCUGGUCUGAGAGGAUGACCAGCCACACUGGAACUGAGACACGGUCCAG